CCUACGGGCGGCAGCAGUGAGGAAUAUUGGUCAAUGGACGAGAGUCUGAACCAGCCAAGUAGCGUGAAGGAUGACUGCCCUAUGGGUUGUAAACUUCUUUUAUAUGAGAAUAAAAUGUUCCACGUGUGGGAUUUUGUAUGUACCAUAUGAAUAAGGAUCGGCUAACUCCGUGCCAGCAGCCGCGGUAAUACGGAGGAUCCGAGCGUUAUCCGGAUUUAUUGGGUUUAAAGGGAGCGUAGGUGGAUUGUUAAGUCAGUUGUGAAAGUUUGCGGCUCAACCGUAAAAUUGCAGUUGAAACUGGCAGUCUUGAGUACAGUAGAGGUGGGCGGAAUUCGUGGUGUAGCGGUGAAAUGCUUAGAUAUCACGAAGAACUCCGAUUGCGAAGGCAGUUCACUGGACUGCAACUGACACUUAGGCUCGAAAGUGUGGGUAUCAAACAGGAUUAGAUACCCCUGUAGUC
rnacentral:rRNA from 1 species